rnacentral:rRNA from 1 species
AUGGCCCGCCGCUGCGGCUGCUCCGUCGGCGCCACGCUCCUCGCCCUCUCCCUCGCCGUCCUCCUCGCCGCCUCGGCGGUCCCCGGGGCCGCCGGGUUCCACCUCGGCGGCGACGAGAGCGGCCUCGUGCGGGGCAUGCUCGCCGCCGUCCGCGAGCGGGCCGAGGCCGAGGACGCUGCGCGCUUCGCCGUCGCCGAGCACAACAGGAAGCAGGGUUCUGCAUUGGAGUUCACACGGGUUGUGAACGCGAAAAGGCAAGUGGUUGCUGGGACCUUGCAUGACCUGAUGGUGGAGGUAGUGGAUUCUGGAAAGAAAAGUAUGUACAAGGCAAAGGUAUGGGUGAAGCCAUGGCAAAAUUUCAAGGCAGUUGUCGAGUUUCGUCAUGCUGGGGACUUCCAGUAUGAGUCUUCUGUUGCUUCUGAUGUUAGCACUGGGCAAGGCACACACGGUGUGAAGGUUCCUUCCAUGGAGUAUGGAACUGGAAGGCGUGAAGGUCGGAACAUGGGGUUCUGA